rnacentral:tRNA from 1 species
GAUCUUAAGGUCGCUGGUUCGAUCCCGGCCUGAGGCAAAUUUUU